GAUGAACGCUGGCGGUAUGCUUUACACAUGCAAGUCAUACGAGGGUUUUAACUCAAGUGCGGACGGGUGAGUAACACGUAGAAUUUGCCUUUAGAGGGGGAUAACAGUUGGAAACGACUGCUAAUACCCCAUAUGCUUUCGAGUGAAACGGAUUUAUCUCCGCCUAAAGAGAAGCUUGCGGCUGAUUAGCUUGUUGGUGAGGUAAUGGCUCACCAAGGCGACGAUCAGUAUCUGGUUUGAGAGGAUGAUCAGACACACUGGAACUGAGACACGGUCCAAACUCCUACGGGAGGCAGCAGUGAGGAAUAUUGGUCAAUGGGCGAGAGCCUGAACCAGCCAUGUCGCGUGAAGGAAGAAUGUCCUAUGGACUGUAAACUUCUUUUAUACAGGAAUAAAGUGUACUACGUGUAGUAUUUUGUAUGUACUGUAUGAAUAAGGAUCGGCUAACUCCGUG
rnacentral:rRNA from 1 species